rnacentral:rRNA from 1 species
GGGAAGCUUAUACUGCAGUCGAGCGAGCUUGCCUAGAUGAUUUUAGUGCUUGCACUAAAUGAAACUAGAUACAAGCGAGCGGCGGACGGGUGAGUAACACGUGGGUAACCUGCCCAAGAGACUGGGAUAACACCUGGAAACAGAUGCUAAUACCGGAUAACAACACUAGACGCAUGUCUAGAGUUUGAAAGAUGGUUCUGCUAUCACUCUUGGAUGGACCUGCGGUGCAUUAGCUAGUUGGUAAGGUAACGGCUUACCAAGGCAAUGAUGCAUAGCCGAGUUGAGAGACUGAUCGGCCACAUUGGGACUGAGACACGGCCCAAACUCCUACGGGAGGCAGCAGUAGGGAAUCUUCCACAAUGGACGAAAGUCUGAUGGAGCAACGCCGCGUGAGUGAAGAAGGGUUUCGGCUCGUAAAGCUCUGUUGGUAGUGAAGAAAGAUAGAGGUAGUAACUGGCCUUUAUUUGACGGUAAUUACUUAGAAAGUCACGGCUAACUACGUGCCAGCAGCCGCGGUAAUACGUAGGUGGCAAGCGUUGUCCGGAUUUAUUGGGCGUAAAGCGAGUGCAGGCGGUUCAAUAAGUCUGAUGUGAAAGCCUUCGGCUCAACCGGAGAAUUGCAUCAGAAACUGUUGAACUUGAGUGCAGAAGAGGAGAGUGGAACUCCAUGUGUAGCGGUGGAAUGCGUAGAUAUAUGGAAGAACACCAGUGGCGAAGGCGGCUCUCUGGUCUGCAACUGACGCUGAGGCUC